GAUGAACGCUGGCGGCGUGCCUAAUACAUGCAAGUCGAGCGAACAGACGAGGAGCUUGCUCCUCUGACGUUAGCGGCGGACGGGUGAGUAACACGUGGAUAACCUACCUAUAAGACUGGGAUAACUUCGGGAAACCGGAGCUAAUACCGGAUAAUAUAUUGAACCGCAUGGUUCAAUAGUGAAAGACGGUUUUGCUGUCACUUAUAGAUGGAUCCGCGCCGCAUUAGCUAGUUGGUAAGGUAACGGCUUACCAAGGCAACGAUGCGUAGCCGACCUGAGAGGAUGAUCGGCCACACUGGAACUGAGACACGGUCCAGACUCCUACGGGAGGCAGCAGUAGGGAAUCUUCCGCAAUGGGCGAAAGCUUGACGGAGCAACGCCGCGUGAGUGAUGAAGGUCUUCGGAUCGUAAAACUCUGUUAUUAGGGAAGAACAAUUGUGUAAGUAACUAUGCACGUCUUGACGGUACCUAAUCAGAAAGCCACGGCUAACUACGUG
rnacentral:rRNA from 1 species